rnacentral:lncRNA from 1 species
CAAUUGAAUUACAUGUACAUGCGUGGAAAAAACAUCUUAAUGUUUUCUUUCUAGUCAUAGCAUCUCAGUGCUCUGCUGCUUUAAGAGUUUUUGAAGGAAGAUCAGAGGGAUGAUCGUCUGGAGGUGAUCACUGAUGAUGACAAAGAGGCUGAGGAAGCAGGGGAUGGCAGAGAUGGCUUCCAUGGCUCCCCAGGAACCAUCAGUGGAACAAGUUACUGGGAAUGUGUUGAGUCUCCUUAACUGGGGAGAGGACCCAAGGAUGUUACCAUUCAUGUUGAAGAGUGUUACCCCCGUGGAGAGCACAGACCUUAGAAGAGAUAAGAGCUCCGAAGAGCCGACAGAAAGUCCUUGUCGCAAACGUGAGAAGGAAAAUCAGAACAAGUGGAAUAUUCUAGAUUGUAAAGAAGGUAACACUUCAGUGACCUCGAGAGAGCACCUUUUGGAGCAUGGAUUAGGAUGGUAUGAGGUCAGGAUUGACUGGACAAAGAUGGAUGAGCAAUGGUAAGUACCAUUCAUCAGUUCAUGAUGAAUAUUCGUCUCUCAUGGAAAGACAGGUAGGUAAGAAUGUCUCUCUGACUUUGUAUUUAUUCCACCAGGCUCACCAUUUCUUAUCAUCUUCCUUCAGAGUAACCUGAGUUAACCCCUUGGCUGAAAUAUUGUGAAGGGACACAAUGCCUUGGGCUUGUUGCUGUAAAAACUAAUAUGCUAUUUAGUUAUUUAAAAGGCAAUGAAAAAUAUCUUGUGGAUUAACAAAUCAACAGAAAGCCAUUAUAGGAAAGUAUAGAGAAGCAAAAGAAAAGAUAUAUAUCCAUAGUCACAUGAUUAUGCCACCCCAAUAAUAUCAGAUAAUUUUCUGUGCAUAUCUUUAUAAAAAAGGUUCAUACUGUAUCAGUUCAGUUCAGUUCAGUUGCUCAGUCGUGUCCGGCUCUUUGAGACCCCAUGAAACGCAGCAUGCCAGGCCUCCCUGUCCAUCACCAACUCCCGGAGUUC